GCUUAACACAUGCAAGUCGAGGGGCAGCACGGUCUUAGCUUGCUAAGGCCGAUGGCGACCGGCGCACGGGUGAGUAACACGUAUCCAACCUGCCGAUAACUCGGGGAUAGCCUUUCGAAAGAAAGAUUAAUACCCGAUGGUAUAAUCAGACCGCAUGGUCUUGUUAUUAAAGAAUUUCGGUUAUCGAUGGGGAUGCGUUCCAUUAGGCGGUUGGUGAGGUAACGGCUCACCAAACCUUCGAUGGAUAGGGGUUCUGAGAGGAAGGUCCCCCACAUUGGAACUGAGACACGGUCCAAACUCCUACGGGAGGCAGCAGUGAGGAAUAUUGGUCAAUGGGCGCAGGCCUGAACCAGCCAAGUAGCGUGAAGGAUGACUGCCCUAUGGGUUGUAAACUUCUUUUAUAUGGGAAUAAAGUUUUCCACGUGUGGAAUUUUGUAUGUACCAUAUGAAUAAGGAUCGGCUAACUCCGUGCCAGCAGCCGCGGUAAUACGGAGGAUCCGAGCGUUAUCCGGAUUUAUUGGGUUUAAAGGGAGCGUAGGUGGACAGUUAAGUCAGUUGUGAAAGUUUGCGGCUCAACCGUAAAAUUGCAGUUGAUACUGGCUGUCUUGAGUACAGUAGAGGUGGGCGGAAUUCGUGGUGUAGCGGUGAAAUGCUUAGAUAUCACGAAGAACUCCGAUUGCGAAGGCAGCUCACUGGACUGCAACUGACACUGAUGCUCGAAAGUGUGGGUAUCAAACAGGAUUAGAUACCCUGGUAGUCCACACAGUAAACGAUGAAUACUCGCUGUUUGCGAUAUACAGUAAGCGGCCAAGCGAAAGCAUUAAGUAUUCCACCUGGGGAGUACGCCGGCAACGGUGAAACUCAAAGGAAUUGACGGGGGCCCGCACAAGCGGAGGAACAUGUGGUUUAAUUCGAUGAUACGCGAGGAACCUUACCCGGGCUUAAAUUGCAUUUGAAUAUAUUGGAAACAGUAUAGCCGUAAGGCAAAUGUGAAGGUGCUGCAUGGUUGUCGUCAGCUCGUGCCGUGAGGUGUCGGCUUAAGUGCCAUAACGAGCGCAACCCUUAUCUUUAGUUACUAACAGGUCAUGCUGAGGACUCUAGAGAGACUGCCGUCGUAAGAUGUGAGGAAGGUGGGGAUGACGUCAAAUCAGCACGGCCCUUACGUCCGGGGCUACACACGUGUUACAAUGGGGGGUACAGAAGGCAGCUACCUGGUGACAGGAUGCUAAUCCCAAAAGCCUCUCUCAGUUCGGAUCGAAGUCUGCAACCCGACUUCGUGAAGCUGGAUUCGCUAGUAAUCGCGCAUCAGCCAUGGCGCGGUGAAUACGUUCCCGGGCCUUGUACACACCGCCCGUCAAGCCAUGAAAGCCGGGGGUACCUGAAGUACGUAACAGCAAGGAGCGUCCUAGGGUAAAACUGGUAAUUGGGGCUAA
rnacentral:rRNA from 1 species